rnacentral:rRNA from 1 species
GACGAACGCUGGCGGCGUGCUUAACACAUGCAAGUCGAACGGUAAGGCCCUUCGGGGUACACGAGUGGCGAACGGGUGAGUAACACGUGGGUGAUCUGCCCUGCACUUCGGGAUAAGCCUGGGAAACUGGGUCUAAUACCGGAUCGGACCACUGCCUGCAUGGGUGGUGGUGGAAAGCUUUUGCGGGGUGGGAUGGGCCCGCGGCCUAUCAGCUUGUUGGUGGGGUGAUGGCCUACCAAGGCGACGACGGGUAGCCGGCCUGAGAGGGUGACCGGCCACACUGGGACUGAGAUACGGCCCAGACUCCUACGGGAGGCAGCAGUGGGGAAUAUUGCACAAUGGGUGCAAGCCUGAUGCAGCGACGCCGCGUGAGGGAUGACGGCCUUCGGGUUGUAAACCUCUUUCAGCACCGACGAAGCGCAAGUGACGGUAGGUGCAGAAGAAGGACCGGCCAACUACGUGCCAGCCGCCGCGGUAA